rnacentral:rRNA from 1 species
AUCCUGGCUUAGGAUGAACGCUAGCUACAGGCUUAACACAUGCAAGUCGAGGGGCAGCAUUAUCGAAGCUUGCUUUGAUAGAUGGCGACCGGCGCACGGGUGCGUAACACGUAUCCAAUCUACCCAUGGCUCAGGGAUAGCCUUUCGAAAGAAAGAUUAAUACCUGAUGGUCUCACAUGAAGACAUCUUUUUGUGAGUAAAGAUUUAUCGGCGAUGGAUGAGGAUGCGUCUGAUUAGGUAGAUGGCGGGGUAACGGCCCACCAUGCCGACGAUCAGUAGGGGUUCUGAGAGGAAGGUCCCCCACAUUGGAACUGAGACACGGUCCAAACUCCUACGGGAGGCAGCAGUGAGGAAUAUUGGUCAAUGGACGAGAGUCUGAACCAGCCAAGUAAGCGUGAAGGAAGACUGCCCUAUGGGUUGUAAACUUCUUUUGUUUGGGAAUAAAGUCCGCUACGUGUAGCGGUUUGUAUGUACCCAUACGAAUAAGCAUCGGCUAAUUCCGUGCCAGCCGCCGC